CACGAACCAAUUGGCGAACAACACGAACCAAUUAGUGAGUACUGUAGCAAACAAAGGAUAUCUUGUAAAAUGAGAAUCGAACCCGCUCUCAUGGCCUGCAGCGGCGGCAUUCCUCAGCUCUCUCAGACUCAUCGACUCUCUGGCCUUCCGUUUUACCGCCAAAGCUUUUCGCGCUUUCCCCAAGGCGCUUACGACGUCGUUCCCAGUUCGUUCCACCCAGCAAGCUUUUCACGAAGUUCUCACUUGUGCCUCCGACGAUGAUGUCUUCACUUGGGACGACGUCGUUAGGAUAUCCAAACCGGAAACCCUUUCCGACGACCCUUCAGAUCUCAGGGGCUACUCGGAAAGAUUAAAAUCUGCAAUCGCAGACUGGAAUCGCAAUCUGAGUUCCUUUCCUUUGUAAUUGAGGACCAAAUCGUUGGUUACAUUCACAAAGGUUUUGCUGAGAAUUUACGUUGUUUCAAGGACGUGUUUACUUUCCCACCAGAAAAUUCAAACUCUAAUGGCAGUUCAUUAACCUUGCAUUCAUCGCUGAGCACAGCUGAGGACAGGACGAGAGCGGUGGGAGAUGUAAUCAAAAGCUUAGGGGAAGAACAUAUUCCAGCUAUACCCUGUGACAUCAUCCUUUGGGGCACCCGUAUUUUUCUGUCUAGAACGUGCAGCUGCUCCUUAUUUUGGAAUAAAGGCUUAUGGAGUGCAAAUGAAUGGCUAUGUUGAAAAGGAUGGGAAGAAGUUUCUAUGGAUAGGGAAGAGAAGUCAACAGAAAACCACUUAUCAAGGGAUGCUUGAUCAACUAGUUGCUGGGGGACUGGUUUGUAACGAGCCUCUCAACUCACUUUAAGGCAUUUUAGUUUCCAUUCUAUCAGUAUUCAGGCUGUCAAAGGGAGCUUGCUAUAGUUUAGUUUGCUUUUGGCAGCUAUAGUAACUUCUAUUACAUGACAUGUUCCUAGAUUAGACGGCUCUGUUGCAACCUACUGUCAAUGUAAUUGGUGAAAAUACUUGACCAAGAACUGGCUGGAUUUUAUGGUUGUAAUCUGAGGCAAGUGGAAGAGCAAGUGGUUCUUCCUUGCCUGAUAUUUAGAGGCCUACUUUAAGCUUA